AGCGAACGCUGGCGGCAGGCUUAAUACAUGCAAGUCGAACGCCCCGCAAGGGGAGUGGCAGACGGGUGAGUAACACGUGGGAACGUACCCUUUGGUUCGGAAUAACCUGGGGAAACUCAAGCUAAUACCGGAUAAGCCCUUAUGGGGAAAGGUUUACUGCCGAAGGAUCGGCCCGCGUCUGAUUAGCUAGUUGGUGAGGUAAUGGCUCACCAAGGCGACGAUCAGUAGCUGGUCUGAGAGGAUGAUCAGCCACACUGGGACUGAGACACGGCCCAGACGCCUACGGGGGGCAGCAGUGGGGAAUAUUGGACAAGGGGGGCAACCCUGAUCCAGCCAUGCGCGUGAGUGAUGAAGGCCUUAGGGUUGUAAAGCUCUUUUACCCGGGACGAUAAUGACUGUACCGGGAGAAUAAGCCCCGGCUAACUUCGUGCCAGCCGCCGCCGUAA
rnacentral:rRNA from 1 species